GAGAGAGAGAGAGAGAGAGAGAGAGAGGUGGGCUUGGAGGUAGCUUGCCCCCGGCUGUGUCGAUGUCAUUGCUGACGUGAUGAUUGAUGGAUGAGAUGGGGGGGGGGGGCUUCUGACAGAACAGCAGAUAUCUGGAGUCGUCCUGGCAACACUAGCCUUCCAGAAGAGAGGCGGUCAUGACAGAGCCAUUUGUGAAGACAUUAUGUCUAUCAGACAUGCUCUUAGCCCCAAUGUAGCAGCAUGAAUCAGCCCUCUUGAAACCUAAUUGAUGCCACGCCCUCUCACCUGUGUCCAGUGACCAUGAUUGGUCAAUGCAGUUUGGCAUUUAUGUUAAUUAGACACAGCUGGGGUGGCUGAGUCUUUCCCUGGCCUCCAUUGCUUGUGUAGGUUGCCUCUAGCCUGUCCCAGCUGUGGUUCCUGUAGUUUGUGAUUCCAGCUCCUGUCACUGACAUUGCUGUCAGUCACUUUGCAGUGAGUAACCCCAUGCUUGUUUCUUGAGCUGGAUGGAUGGAGAAGUGUAGAUGUGGUUUGGGCUUUUAAGGUUGGCCUUCUGUCUUUAUUCACUACACACGUGGAAUCUGCACUUGCUAUGGAUUUUUAAUUUAACUCUUAUUUACUGGUUUCUUGUUGUCCCUAUAUAUGUUUUUGUUAUAGUGGCAAACAUGCAUUAUCAAAAAUUACUUGUACUAAAUACCAAUACCAACUCUGCUAAAAGUCCACAUAUCCUAAGUACAAUAACGAAUGUUUUGUCAUAUUUUAGAGUAAAUUGAACUCCUGUCCUUUCUGUUAAACUUGCUGUGGAUGCUACCGCUCUACGUGUUUUUCAUUGUGUAUAUUUUGUACGACUUGUGUUGACGAGGUGACUGUCUUGACUCGUGGGGGGGCCCCUUUGGCCCCCCCAGAGCAACGACUACCUCCACCUUGGACACCGAGGCCCUGGAAACCGUGGCAACAGAAUGGGGUAACUGAAGCAUCUGUUAGAGGCGAUGAGGGAGCCGUUCUGGCACGCGGAGGACUCUCCAGCUGAACCCGGGUCUACUGCACAAUGCCCUGCUCUGUUUGGCAGCAUCGUGAAGAACCUUUUCCUUCAACGUUUGAAUCAGGAUGGUGAAGCCUGGACCCGCUUUGCUCUGCUGGGUCUGGUGCUCUGGUCCUGGUCUCCUGGGGGGCCCGGGGUCUCCUGGGGGGCCCGGGGGGCCCCUAGUCUCCUGGGGGCCCCGGGGUCUACUGGUCCAGCCACACUUGGCUCCUCCAUGGUGACCUGCUCCAGUCCACUUGACGUCCAGGACCAUUGAGGCUCUUCUGCUCCAGCAGUACUCUUGUCUCUCGUGCAGCAGACGAGUGUGACCGUGGUACUGGGAGUCGGGCAUUGCUUGUUGAAAUAUGGGACUUAUUUUAGUUUAAUGUCUUGACUUUAAAACGCUCCUCUUUAGGUGCAGUCACUCCUAUGCUCAUGGAAGAACCUUUUUGCUUCAUGCUACUUUUUAGCAACUUGGUCAUUUGUCUUUAGAAAUUGCACUGAUUGAAGCUGGUUUUCUUGUUCUCUGCCUUGCCUGUAGGAUUGUCAUUUUUAACACCAUUCCUGGCUAUUUAAAAGCCCUUAAAGUUUUGUCACUAUCGAAAGCCAAUAUGCUACCAGUUGGUGGUUCAACACUGGGUAGUCAUGCAGAUGCCAGACUGGCCUGGAGGGAUGUAUGUAUUGGUACCUUCACCCCAUUCAGUAGUUUAAAAGAAUGGUGUUAGGUAACACUUAUUUUUUCAGUAAAGGGGUGAUCUAACUAACUACUGUUUUUGACGUUACCAUUACUGUACGUUAAAUGCAGUGCGUUACUAUGUAUGAUUGAAUAAACUGCGUUAUCCGAACGCACCCCUGGCUCCAAAAACAAACUGCUAGUGAGGAGACAGGGUGGGUUAAACAACGAGACAAGCGAUUAUGAUUGGCUAAGGCAGUCAUGUUUCAUGGUAGCCAAUCGGAACCAGUGUUUUUACACAAAAGCCAGGGCACGUAAGCACACACAAUUUAAUUUGCUAUCGAGUUAAGCACACUUUAUAUCGUUUACUUUUAUUACAAAGAUAAGACUUGACGUGCAGGACAAACCACUUGCUGUCUGUUGAUGUGAAAUAAAUAUCGACGGCUAUGUACCUCUCUGUUCUGCUCAUUUCAACUGACUUGUGAAAUAUCUGAAUUCUUUGACAUAGCAAUUUAUUUUAUAAUAAACCAAAUAGGUACUUUCCCUGGUAACUAGUUACUUUUUUUUAUAGAGUAAUUCAGUUACUAACUCGGGUACUUUUUGGAACAAGUAGUGACUGUUUUAAAGUAACGGUCCCAACACUGCCCGCUUGUAGUUAGGGUUAGCAGCUACAAUGGCCUUAUUGAUAAAAACUGCAUUGACCUCGAUAAGCAGCUUAACGUCCUGAAGCUGAGUCUUUCAAUAAUGAAUGUGUCAGUAGGCUACCAUAAUUAAUAUAUUUGACAUUUGAUUAACCACAACCAGCCACCCCAUGUUGCCUAGUCCUAUUGUAGACAUUUUAGUUUGGUUAUCAAAAUGUCUUAAUAAUCCUCUAGCGCCCUUGUUCUCUACGUACUGACUUCAGUUUUUGUAUCCAUCUAGAGAGCAUGAGGACCAACCAUCCGCCUCACUGUGACUCAACACUUGCUUCCUGAAUAAACUCUUUCGAUAAAUGCAUGCUUUGUUUUCAUGCUGGUCUUGAAAGGCAGGGAAAUGUAUUGUCUUAAAAUUAUUUUUGACUAAUUUUGAUAUUUUAUACUCUGACAAUCUUUCCAUACAGUUGCAUCAAUUUCUUUUGCAAUUCCAUUUGAAUAAAAUUAUCCUCCCUACAGCUUCUG
ensembl:lncRNA